AUUAGAAUGUGGAUAUUUUGUUGAGGUAAAUCAUGGAUGUUACCAUUGAGACUGAUUGUUUGACGAGGACAUCCAACUUUUUGUUCCAGAAUCAUUAGAAAGAGCUGGACCAGAGCCAAAAGGAAAGUAAGAUGGCCACAUCUCAGUGUGGAAGCGGCAGCGUCAGAACAGGCUGGCUGAAAACCUGAUAGUGACGAGGAUGCUGCAGAAAUCACUCCCAGAGAGAAAGCUGGCGAGUCAAAAGGCCACAUCUCAGUCGUGGAAGCAGCAGCGUCAGAACAGGUAG